rnacentral:rRNA from 1 species
UACGGGGGGAGCAAGCGUUGUUCGGAAUUACUGGGCGUAAAGCGUGCGCAGGCGGUUUUGUAAGUCAGAUGUGAAAUCCCCGGGCUUAACCUGGGAACUGCGUUUGUGACUGCCCGGCUAGAGUGUGUCAGAGGGAGGUAGAAUUCCACGUGUAGCAGUGAAAUGCGUAGAUAUGUGGAGGAAUACCGAUGGCGAAGGCAGCCCCCUGGGAUAACACUGACGCUCAUGCACGAAAGCGUGGGGAGCAAACAGG